UGCUAAGCUUUUAAUCAAUCAGGUUUCUUCCUUUCUUAUGGUCAACAACGCUGCCAAAUGGUGCAUAAGAAUAUUCAAGAAAAUGUGACUUGAAUUACUAAAAUUAGGAACAAUUAUUUUAUUUUGAUGAUUGAGUCAACAGUUUGUUGUGCUUGCGAAUGAAUUUAUAAAGUACCUUGCUAAUAAUUUCCUUCACAACUUGGAAACCUUAGGUGGACAGGA
rnacentral:misc_RNA from 1 species